rnacentral:rRNA from 1 species
ACGAACGCUGGCGGCGUGCUUAACACAUGCGAGUCGUACGGUAAGGCCCUUUCGGGGGUACACGAGUGGCGAACGGGUGAGUAACACGUGAGUAACCUGCCCACAACUUUGGGAUAACGCUAGGAAACUGGUGCUAAUACUGGAUAUGUGCUCCUGCUGCAUGGUGGGGGUUGGAAAGCUCCGGCGGUUGUGGAUGGACUCGCGGCCUAUCAGCUUGUUGGUGGGGUAGUGGCCUACCAAGGCGGCGACGGGUAGCCGGCCUGAGAGGGUGACCGGCCACAUUGGGACUGAGAUACGGCCCAGACUCCUACGGGAGGCAGCAGUGGGGAAUAUUGCACAAUGGGCGCAAGCCUGAUGCAGCAACGCCGCGUGCGGGAUGACGGCCUUCGGGUUGUAAACCGCUUUCAGCAGGGACGAAGCUUUUUGUGACGGUACCUGCAGAAGAAGCACCGGCUAACUACGUG